rnacentral:rRNA from 1 species
AGUAACGGCGAGUGAAGCGGCAACAGCUCAAAUUUGAAAUCUGGCUCUUUCAGAGUCCGAGUUGUAAUUUGCAGAGGGCGCUUUGGCUUUGGCAGCGGUCCAAGUUCCUUGGAACAGGACGUCACAGAGGGUGAGAAUCCCGUACGUGGUCGCUAGCUAUUGCCGUGUAAAGCCCCUUCGACGAGUCGAGUUGUUUGGGAAUGCAGCUCUAAAUGGGAGGUAAAUUUCUUCUAAAGCUAAAUACUGGCCAGAGACCGAUAGCGCACAAGUAGAGUGAUCGAAAGAUGAAAAGCACUUUGGAAAGAGAGUCAAACAGCACGUGAAAUUGUUGAAAGGGAAGCGCUUGCAGCCAGACUUGCUUGCAGUUGCUCAUCCGGGCUUUUGCCCGGUGCACUCUUCUGCAGGCAGGCCAGCAUCAGUUUGGGCGGUGGGAUAAAGGUCUCUGACACGUUCCUUCCUUCGGGUUGGCCAUAUAGGGGAGACGUCAUACCACCAGCCUGGACUGAGGUCCGCGCAUCUGCUAGGAUGCUGGCGUAAUGGCUGUAAGCGGCCCGUCUUGAAACACGGACCAAGGAGUCUAACAUCUAUGCGAGUGUUUGGGUGUCAAGCCCGAGCGCGUAAUGAAAGUGAACGGAGGUGGGAACCCGCAAGGGUGCACCAUCGACCGAUCCUGAAGUUUACGGAAGGAUUUGAGUAAGAGCAUGGCUGUUGGGACCCGAAAGAUGGUGAACUAUGCUUGAAUAGGGUGAAGCCAGAGGAAACUCUGGUGGAGGCUCGCAGCGGUUCUGACGUGCAAAUCGAUCGUCAAA